CCUACGGGGGGCAGCAGUGAGGAAUAUUGGUCAAUGGGCGCGAGCCUGAACCAGCCAAGUCGCGUGAGGGAAGACGGUCCUAUGGAUUGUAAACCUCUUUUGUCGGGGAGCAAAAGACGCCACGCGUGGCGUUCCGAGAGUACCCGAAGAAAAAGCAUCGGCUAACUCCGUGCCAGCAGCCGCGGUAAUACGGAGGAUGCGAGCGUUAUCCGGAUUUAUUGGGUUUAAAGGGUGGGCAGUGGGAAGAUCAAGUCAGCGGGAAAAUUGAGAGGCUCAACCUCUUCGAGCCGUUGAAACUGGUUGUCUUGAGUGAGUGAGAGGUAUGCGGAAUGCGUGGUGUAGCGGUGAAAUGCGUAGAUAUCACGCAGAACACCGAUUGCGAAGGCAGCAUACCGGCGCUCAACUGACGCUCAGGCACGAAAGUGUGGGUAUCGAACAGGAUUAGAUACCCUUGUAGUC
rnacentral:rRNA from 1 species